GUGUAAGUCCCUAAACCAGCCUUAAAAAGGAAGCCUUUUCGAAGUACACCUAACCGACAACUCCAAGAUGCUGAUUUGCCACAAGCACCCCUGCAAUAUUCAAGGAUCACUAUUGUAAUCCCAAGUCUCAAAUGUGUUAGAGACAAGAAAGAGAAGGUCAAGAACCAUUAGUAUAAAUAGCAUAAAAAUCAAACACAUCUCAGAUCCAAAGAAUGAUAUGUAAAAAUGAAGAGCCAGUCAGGUUUAAGUAUAGACACAGACAUAGCCUAUGUGGUAAGUUAAAACAACAAUGGUAGGUUAAAACAACAACAAAAAAACAGCAUAGCUAUGUGGCCACAAAAUACUAAGUAAAUAUUUCACUGUCACAAACUAGUAACUGACAGGGCAAGAUUCCAUCUCAACUUUUCACAACAAAGCCCAGAUUCUUUUCUUUUUUUCUUUUUCCUUUUUUUUUUUUUUGAGACGGAGUCUCACUCUGUCGCCCAGGCUGGAGUGCAGUGGUGCGAUCUUGACUCACUACAAGCUCCGCCUACCGGGUUCACGCCAUUCUCCUGCCUUAGCCUCCCGAGUAGCUGGGACUACAGGUGCCCACCACCACACCCGGCUAAUUUUUUCUUUUUUUCUUUUUUUUUUUUAGUAGAGACGGGGUUUCACCAUGUUAGCAAGGAUGGUCUCGAUCUCCUGACCUCGUGAUCCGCCCGCCUCGGCCUCCCAGAGUGCUGGGAUUACAGGCAGUGAGCCACCGCACCGGGCCAAAGCCCAAAUUCUUUUCACAGCCCGAUACUAGCUCCAGAGUUCUUCUCUGACAUGGCUUUACAUUUUCAGAAAUCUGUAUCUAUUGUGAUUGAGAGACAGUUGCUAUCCUUUACAAUUGAUGAUGCUGGUGAGAUGUUAUCAUCUAUGCAUAUAAACAGAGUACAACUGACAAAAGUAUUAGGAGGUGAUCCUUGUCUUUAAAUGAGCAGGAUAAGAUAGAUGACCUUCACAGGGCUCUUCUAGCAUUCUAACAUUCUAUGAGUAAUUUAUCUUAUUAAGAUGUUUGGGAACAGAUAAAAAAUCUCUGGCUAUUUCUUUUCUAACUUUCUGAAAUCUGUUCAAGAUAAUAACUCCUACCCCAUCACUAUUUUACAAAAAUUUAAAUAUAGUAUCUACAUUAAUGUAAUUCUCACAAAUCUGUGAUGUUGAUUAUUUUAUACAGAUGAGAGUACUGAAAUUCAAAAAGAUUGUGGUGCUUUGGCCCAAAGCACCAAAUUACUAAACAGCAGAGCAAUUCUAAAGGCAAAUCUGUCCCACUCACAGCUCAGGACAUUUACCCUUAUAUAUAUUAGAUGCUGCCAUAAUAACAGCAUCCAUUUGUACAUCAC
rnacentral:lncRNA from 1 species